CCCGUCGAAACCCUAAGGACUCCUGAGCAAGGCUCGUCCCCUCAGGGAAAGUCGGGACCUAAGCCAAGGCCGAAAGGCGUAGGCGAUGGAUAACAGGUUUAUAUUCCUGUACCGCUUGAAGUCGUUAAGAGAGAAGUGAUGACGCAAAAGGAUAAGCAAAGCCAUCAGAUGGAAAAGAUGGUCUAAAGCCGUAGGAAGAAAAGUAGGCAAAUCCGCUUUUCACAAAUUCUAAAAGCCGAUAGGUAUCGAAAACAUAAGUAGAGAAGUUGCCGAUUCCAGGUUGCCAAGAAAAGUCACUAUCCAGACCAAAGCGCCCGUACCAAAACCGACACAGGUAGGGAGGUAGAGAAUACCAAGACGCGCGGAAGAACCUUUGUUAAGGAACUCGGCAAAAUGUCCCCGUAACUUCGGGAGAAGGGGAGCCUGAGCAAUCAGGCCACAGAAACCAGGCCCAAGCGACUGUUUACCAAAAACACAAGUUUCUGCAAAAUCGCAAGAUGAAGUAUAGGAGCUGACACCUGCCCGGUGCUGGAAGGUUAAGGGGAAGGCUUAGAGCAAUCGAAGGCUAGAACUUAAGCCCCAGUAAACGGCGGCCGUAACUAUAACGGUCCUAAGGUAGCGAAAUUCCUUGUCGGGUAAGUUCCGACCCGCACGAAAGGUGUAACGAUUUGGGCACUGUCUCAACAAAGGAUCCGGUGAAAUUGUAGUAGUCGUGAAGAUGCGACUUACCCACGCUAGGACGGAAAGACCCCGUGGAGCUUUACUGUAGGCUGAUAUUGGAUUUUGAGAUUAAAUGUACAGGAUAGUUGGGAGACUGAGAUAUCUGGAUGCCAAUCUAGGAGGAGUCACUGGUGGGAUACCAACCUUUUAAUAUCAAAGUUCUAACCAUAGCCCUUGAAUCAGGGCAUGGGACAUUGUCAGUUGGGCAGUUUGACUGGGGCGGUCGCCUCCUAAAAAGUAACGGAGGCGUUCAAAGGUUCGCUCAGAAUGGACGGAAACCAUUCGCAGAGUAUAAAGGCAAAAGCGAGCUUAACUGCGAGAGCUACAACUCAAGCAGAGUCGAAAGACGGACUUAGUGAUCCGGUGGUACCGCAUGGAAGGGCCAUCGCUCAACGGAUAAAAGCUACCCCGGGGAUAACAGGCUUAUCUCCCCCAAGAGUCCACAUCGACGGGGAGGUUUGGCACCUCGAUGUCGGCUCGUCUCAUCCUGGGGCUGGAGUAGGUCCCAAGGGUUGGGCUGUUCGCCCAUUAAAGAGGCACGCGAGCUGGGUUCAGAACGUCGUGAGACAGUUCGGUCCCUAUCCAGCGUGGGCGUAAGAAAUUUGAGAGGAGCUGUCCUUAGUACGAGAGGACCGGGAUGGACGCACCAAUGGUGUACGAGUUGUUAGGCCACUAGCAUGGCUCGGUAGCUAAGUGCGGGAAUGAUAAGUACUGAAAGCAUCUAAGUACGAAGCAUGCCUCAAGAUAAGAUUUCUCAGAGUAGGUAAAGAAAAUACCUUAGAUAGGUCCAAGGUGUAAGUGCAGUAAUGUAUUAAGCUAAUGGAUACUAAACUUUAAAUCUUGACUGG
rnacentral:rRNA from 1 species